rnacentral:sRNA from 1 species
UCGAUCUGCUGCGGGCAGAUGAAAUGGAUGUGGGUGUCCACCGCGCCGGCGGUCACGAUCAGCCCCUCGCAGGCAAUCACCUCGGUGCCGGGGCCGAUGAUGAUGUCCACGCCGGGCUGGGUGUCGGGGUUGCCGGCCUUGCCGAUGGCGGCAAUGCGGCCGCUCUUCAAGCCGAUAUCGGCUUUGACAAUGCCCCAGUGGUCCAGGAUCAAGGCAUUGGUCAAGACCGUGUCGACCGCCCCGCCGUCCGGCCCAUCAGCGCGCCCGCGCUGCGAUUGCGCCAUGCCGUCGCG